rnacentral:rRNA from 1 species
AGCUGNCUCAGUUAUAAUUAUUGAAUUUAACUUUUAAGUGAAAAGGCUUAAAUAGUCUAAGGGGACGAUAAGACCCUAUAAAGCUUUACGAUUUGUUUAUUAAAUCAAAAAUUGUAAGUAUAAAUUUUAUUUAAUAGACAUUUGUUUCGUUGGGGCGACGAGAAUAAAAUUUAGUAACUGUUCUUUUAGAGUAUAACAAUUAUAAUUGAAGGAAAAUUGAUCCCUUAUUAAGGAUUAAAAAUUUAAGUUACUUUAGGGAUAACAGCGUAAUCUUUUUUGACAGGCCAUAUCGACAAAAAGGGU